rnacentral:rRNA from 1 species
GAGAGUGCAGGCGGCUUUCUAAGUCUGAUGUGAAAGCCUUCGGCUUAAACCGGAGAAGUGCAUACGGAAACUGGAUAACUUAGAGUGCAGAAGAGGGUAGUGGAACUCCGAUGUGUAGCGGUGGAAUGCGUAGAUAUAUGGAAGAACACCAGUGGCGAAGGCGGCUACCUGGUCUGCAACUGACGCUGAGACUCGAAAGCAUGGGUAGCGAACAGGAUUAGAUACCCUGGUAG